UACGUAGGGUGCAAGCGUUGUCCGGAAUUAUUGGGCGUAAAGAGCUCGUAGGCGGUCUGUCGCGUCUGCCGUGAAAACUCGGGGCUUAACCCCGGGCCUGCAGUGGGUACGGGCAGACUAGAGUGCGGUAGGGGAGACUGGAAUUCCUGGUGUAGCGGUGAAAUGCGCAGAUAUCAGGAAGAACACCAAUGGCGAAAGCAGCUCUCUGGGACGGUACUGACGCUGAGACGCGAAAGCGUGGGGAGCGAACAGG
rnacentral:rRNA from 1 species